rnacentral:rRNA from 1 species
CCUACGGGAGGCAGCAGUGGGGAAUAUUGCACAAUGGGCGCAAGCCUGAUGCAGCGACGCCGCGUGAGGGAUGACGGCCUUCGGGUUGUAAACCUCUUUCAGUAGGGAAGAAGCGAAAGUGACGGUACCUGCAGAAGAAGCGCCGGCUAACUACGUGCCAGCAGCCGCGGUAAUACGUAGGGCGCAAGCGUUAUCCGGAAUUAUUGGGCGUAAAGAGCUCGUAGGCGGUUUGUCGCGUCUGCUGUGAAAGACCGGGGCUCAACUCCGGUUCUGCAGUGGGUACGGGCAGACUAGAGUGCAGUAGGGGAGACUGGAAUUCCUGGUGUAGCGGUGAAAUGCGCAGAUAUCAGGAGGAACACCGAUGGCGAAGGCAGGUCUCUGGGCUGUAACUGACGCUGAGGAGCGAAAGCAUGGGGAGCGAACAGGAUUAGAUACCCUGGUAGUCCAUGCCGUAAACGUUGGGCACUAGGUGUGGGGGACAUUCCACGUUUUCCGCGCCGUAGCUAACGCAUUAAGUGCCCCGCCUGGGGAGUACGGCGCGAGACGAACGACGAAGAAGUAGACGCGUGAGACGUGCGACGGACGACGACGAGGGAGAGG